rnacentral:rRNA from 1 species
ACGUAGGGGGCGAGCGUUGACCGGAAUCACUGGGCGUAAAGCGCACGUAGGCGGGCUGUUAAGUCGGCCGUGAAAUACACUGGCUCAACCGGGGCAGGUCAGCUGAUACUGGCAAGCUUGAGUCUGGGAGAGGGGGCUAGAAUUCCCGGUGUAGCGGUGAAAUGCGUAGAUAUCUGGAGGAAUACCGGUGGCGAAGGCGGCCUCCUGGACCAAGACUGACGCUCAGGUGCGAAAGCGUGGGGAGCAAACAG